rnacentral:rRNA from 1 species
AUGGCAAGCAGAUCCGCCGAGCUUCUGUCGAGGAUGGCCGCCGGCGACGGCCACGGCGAGAACUCGUCCUACUUCGACGGGUGGAAGGCGUACGACAUGAACCCCUUCCACCCGCAGGACAACCGCGGGGGCGUCAUCCAGAUGGGCCUCGCCGAGAACCAACUCUCGCUGGACCUGAUCGAGGAGUGGAGCAAGGCCCACCCGGAGGCGUCCAUCUGCACGGCGGAGGGCGCCUCGCAGUUCAAGAGGAUCGCCAAUUUCCAGGACUACCACGGCCUCCCGGAGUUCAGACAGGCGAUGGCCCAGUUCAUGGGGCAGGUGAGGGGGUGGAAGGCCAGGUUUGACCCGGAUCGCGUCGUGAUGAGCGGCGGCGCCACCGGCGCGCAGGAGACGCUCGCCUUCUGCCUUGCCAACCCCGGCGAGGCCUUCCUCGUGCCCACGCCUUACUACCCAGGAUUCGACCGCGACUGCUGCUGGAGGUCGGGAGUGAAGCUGCUGCCGAUCGAGUGCCACAGCUCCAACGACUUCAGGAUCACCAGGGAGGCCGUGGUGGCGGCGUACGAGGGCGCGCGGAGCAGCGGCGUGCGCGUCAAGGGCAUCCUCAUCACCAACCCGUCCAACCCGCUGGGCACGACCGCGGACCGGGCCACGCUGGCCAUGCUCGCCACCUUCGCCACGGAGCACCGCGUGCAUCUCAUCUGCGACGAGAUCUACGCGGGGUCGGUCUUCGCCAAGCCGGAGUACGUGAGCAUCGCCGAGGUGAUCGAGCACGACGCGCCCGGCGCCGACCGGGACCUCAUCCACAUCGCCUACAGCCUCUCCAAGGACUUCGGCCUCCCGGGGUUCCGCGUCGGCAUCGUCUACUCGUACAACGACGCCGUCGUGGCCUGCGCGCGCAAGAUGUCCAGCUUCGGCCUGGUGUCCUCGCAGACGCAGCUCUUCCUGGCCAAGAUGCUCGGGGACGAGGAGUUCAUGUCCCGGUUCCUGCGCGAGAGCGCGCGGCGGCUGGCGGCGCGGCACGAGCUGUUCACGUCGGGGCUCCGCGAGGUGGGCAUCGGGUGCCUGGGCGGCAACGCCGGGCUCUUCUCGUGGAUGGACCUGCGGGGCAUGCUCCGGGAGAAGACGGCGGAGGCGGAGCUGGAGCUGUGGCGGGUGAUCAUCCGCAAGGUGAAGCUCAACGUGUCGCCGGGGACGUCGUUCCACUGCGGCGAGCCCGGGUGGUUCCGCGUCUGCCACGCCAACAUGGACGACGAGACCAUGGGGGUGGCGCUGAGCCGGAUCCGGGACUUCGUGCGCCAGCACCAGCAGCAGAAGGCCAAGGCCCAGCGCUGGGCCGCCAGGAGCCACCUCCACCUCAGCCUCCAGCGCCACGGCGCCAUGGCGUCGCAGUACCACGCGCUCUCCAGCCCCAUGGCCGCGCUGCUGUCGCCCCAGUCUCCGCUCGUCCACGCCGCCAGCUAA